rnacentral:lncRNA from 1 species
UGGGUUCCGGUGGGAACUAGUUCUGGACGGCGAAGCCCUGCCGGAUAGAUGACACCGUAUGUGUGCAACUCUGUAGAGAGAUCAUAGUUUCGGUCUUAGUUCGAGAGUGCCUCCCGAAGGGCUGUCCGUGUGACCGUCCGAGUUUCAAAUGUCCUCCCGAAGGGCUGUCCGAGUGACCGUCCGAGUUUCGAAGGUCCUCCCGAAGGGCUGUCCGCGACACCGUCCGGGGGACUGUCCAACCACCUCCCGAAGGGCUGUUCGAGGGGCAGAUGAGGGUAUACAUCCUAGCGGUUGGGAUUUUGUAAAUCCUAACUGCGGGGAUCUGCACCGCCGAUCGUCAUCGACUCUACUUCCUGCUGCGCUAUGAGUCGGUAACGAAAAAGAUCAAACCUUGUAUGCAGUCUCCAUAGUGGUCCUGGGCUGGUGCGUAAGUCAGAUUUUUUUUGUUUUCUGCUAUGUUACCCUACAGUGGCAUCAUGAGCCGUGCUAUGCGUAGAUGCAGGUUGCGAUCUAGAAUACAUAGAGAUGUAUGGGUGUUGCACAAUAUAAUUAGGUAAUAGAUGAGUUCUAUUACUAAAAAUUAUUUGUGCGGGUAGCAGAUGAAAUCUCUUUCCCAAUGUUCUUGUUGCUUCCCUUGAAUUUGCAUAAUCCUGAUCUUGACGGCGUGGUGGAAUCUCACAAAGUUCUGGCAAUCCGCGAUCCUUUCAUGCUGCUCCUGAGUAUGCUGAUUGACAGAUCAACGAAGUGCUAACAGUUCUUUGGGUUCCACCAUAGUUAAAGAAAGAUGGAUGUUUCACAAACAAAAGGGCAAUGCAGAUAUGAUCUGCACAGGGGUCAUGCAUAUGACGAAGUUUAGUAUGGGGUUCGAGAUUUUAUUUUCUCGUGCUUCAUACACCCCGCAAAGUUAAUCUAGCGACUUGAAUUAUCAUACUUGAUGAUGGACAUUGGUAGCUUCGGUUUGUUUCGAAACCUUAGAAGCCACGAAAAACAAGUUUUUGCAUGAACCGAUUAGGGGAGUCUAACUUGGUUUUGCAGGAGGUUUUGUAUGUGCAUGUGAUGUGGUAUAGCAGUGCUCAUAAUAAUUUGAUUAUGUAUGAGAUGACUAUAUGAUGUAAAUUGAUUAACAUGACCUGCGUGUCAUGAUUCGGCAUGAUGGCUGGAGCCAUAUGAUUGUCACUUUAAUGACCUGCGUGUCAACCUUAAGUAUUGCACUUAUUUUAUUAGCUAUAGAGAUAGCAAUAUUAUCCGGUGCAUCGACAAGGUGGUGGCAAUCUUCGCGAAGGUGAACACCGACGCGAAUGCGGAAGAUGAAGAAAUACAAGACUUCUCCGUCAGAAAGGGUUAUACCAUAUCAUGCUAUUGUGAAUUGCCUGAGAUGUUUAUCCCUUUGGUGCACCCUUCUUGAUUGCAUGGUAGUCGCUUUUUAUUAGGGUGAUCUCUCACAAAAAUAUCAAAGUAGUUAGUGUCCUCCCAAGUGUAGCACCGUCACGGCACCUAUCUUUUCGGGGUGCGCCGUGUCACACGGGUACGAAUGGUUAGAGAAGUGUGAGGCGGAUGAGUUGAGACCUCACAACGAGAUCACUUGGUUGUCUUGACGUUCAGGCAUGACCGUCAUGAGCUCGGAACACGCCCAUCGAAAGAUGAACAAGAGUCGCAUAGAGAUGUGAUUGGCAGGUUGGCCUACCGGUUGAGAUUUUCGUCAUCAGUGGUGUUACACCAAUGGCGAACAAUUGAUAUGCGGAUCUUGAAUCACUCACAAUCAAUUAUGAGAGAUAUUGAUUUGAGUGGGAGCGCAUUGUUGAAUUAACACGUUUAAUUCUCAGUGCAAUUAAUUAUGAACAUUGUCUAAGUGUUUCUUGCAAAAUAGUUGUAGAAUAAUGGCUCACGUUUCCACCUUCCCUGUUAAAAUUGAAUAGCUGUUAAAUAUCUGGUUAAAACUUUAUGAUUGGUAACGUAAUGUGAGGAUUGUCCUCAAGAGUGCCGAGAAGGACUUCGUCCUAUCGCAUGCUUUCCGUAUACUCCCGCUAAAUGCUCUGGAUGAUGAGACUCUCGUCCUUUGAUCCAAAAGCUAGAAUUCCAUUGCGGUCAAGUGCAAUAUGUUUGCUUCCAUGAAACUCGAACUUCGAAAGUUUGGGAUAGUUAUGUGAUAUUCAUGGAGCUGAAAAUUAAUUUUCAGAUACAAACAGAGGCUGAAAGAUAUGAAAUAUCCAAAGCAAUGUUUGUUUGCAAAUUAUUAGUAAAGUGUUUACUAUGCAUUAGACUGAUAACAGAGGGAUCCAGGAGAACGCUUGUCAUAUGAUGAAAGGUGAAUAAAACAACAACUUAAGGAGAAAGGAAGUGUCCAAAGGGUGUUAGUAUGACUUACACGCCUAGGAAGUCCCGGGCUAACGCCACUCUUAAGUUGGGUGCUUCUUUUGCGAGUAGGAGAAAUACUAAAAGUUAAACUGUUAGAAGUAUAAAGGCAAAAGGAGCGAAGACUGGAAUAUCCAGCUCAUAUGUAUGAAUGUCAUACGAGUUAUUGAUGUAUAGAAGGCUAGUCAGAAGAAAUAGUUCUUGGGAAUUAUGAUUAAACUUGUUAAUCACUAAUUCUUGGGUAUUGUGAGUUGAUCACAAAGAUACCCGCUCGAUUGCAUUCUGUCGCGAAUCCAUGCAAGAACUACUAUCGCCUGAAAGACUAGCCAUGAAUGAGGUUUCGAUACGCGAUGAGAUCAUAGUAAAAGUUACUAUACCUUCCAUCGAUGUAUUCCCUAUGUAUUUAUUUUCAUAAUUCAUUAUAGAGUUUUACACACUCUAGCCCCUUGUGUAAGGUAUCUUGCAAAAAGGUUGUUCAUAAGAGAACUUUUGAUGUUCAGUAUUAUGAAUAAACAUAAGGGCCAUACUUUCAUUAUGAAUGAGAUGUAUGUUAUGAAUAAUGAUAUUAAUAUAUUACCUCUGUGUUUACUUUCAUAAUUCAUUUUAGAGUUUCAUACACUCUAGCCCAUUGCACAAUGUUUUUUGCAAAAGGGUUGUUCAUAAAAGAACAAUUGUUGUUCAGUAUUAUGAAUAACAUGAAGGGCCAUGCUUCCAUCCAAGAUGGGAUGUAUGUUAUGAAUAUUGAUGGUAAAAUGAUACAUCCAUAACACUGACGCUAAAUGUCGCAAGACAAUGAGAAUACCACACAUGUGUGGCACUGCAUUUGGUCACAUUGGAGAAACCUGCACAGAAAAAUUCCAUUAUGAUGGAUUUUGAAGUCGUUUGAUUUUGAAUCAUAUGACACUUGCAACUUUCCUCCAAAAACUGAAGUGACUGAAAUACCGUUCACAGGCUAUAAGGAACGAGCAACAAACUUAUUGGUGAUCAUACAUUUUGAUGUGUGUAGUUCAAUAAAUGUUGUUGCAAGUAGUGGAUUUAUCUAUCUUCAGAAAUGAAUCAAGUAGAUAUAUGAUAUUUGCUUGAUGAGACGUAAGUCUGGAUCUUUUGAAAUCAAUCGAAAGGUUUUUCAAAAAUGAAGUAGAAGUUAUUGUAACAAGAAAAUUAUGUUUCUGCAAUUUGAUUGCAGAAAGGAAUAUUUGAGUUACAAGUUUAGCGAAUGUCUGAUGAGUUGUGAAAAGAGUUUCAUAACUUACACCUCCCGGAACACCACUAUGAGUGGAAUGACUGUGAAGAUGUAAUCAAACCAUUUAUGACAUGGUAAGAUCAAAGAUGACAUAAAUAAAUUUGCCAUUAUCACUUUUAAAGAGUAAUGCUUUAGAGACUGCGGCUUUUACACUGAAAAGAGCUCCAUCAGGUCUGUUGAAAUGACAACAUGGUAUGGUACGCCCAACCAUGUUAUAUAUGUUCUUAACAUUUGGAAUACGGGGCUUGUGUAAAAGGUUACAAACCUAUUCCAAAUCAGACAAGUGCUACUUUGUAAGUUAUCCCAAGUCAUUGGGUAUUCCCCCACCACUAUACCGAGGCAAAGGAUUUUUGCCACAAAACGGUAUGCUUUGAAAGAGAAUAGUUCUUGCAAAAGUUAAGUGGGAGGACAAUGCAACUCGACGAGAUAACAAGUAUCUUCGUCAUCAGGUCAAAGGAAAGGAACCUUGGAAGUGAUUCCAGAGUUUCCUACUGCGACUGAUACGGAAGCCUCUACAUGAGAUGUAUGGACUUCGGUCGAACUUGCAGCUGAACAACGUAGGCAAAGCUCGUGCAAACCUCUCAGGUGCGCAAACGAGACAUCGUUGUUAGACAACAAUAUACCUAUAAUACACAAGGAAGCGUUGAUGGGCCCUGACUCCGGAAUUGGCUAAAUGCCAAUAUAAUCCGAGAUAGUUUCCAUAAAUGAUUCAAGAUUUAAAUCUUGAUAAACCCUCUGAAAGACUUGGAGUCUAACGGAUUGUAAUGGGACUAUAAACUGAUACGGAUAAAAAUGUUUUAUCCAUUAAGCUCGAAUUGUUGCAAUAACAAGUUCAAGGAGUUGACUACAAUGAGAUUGUCUCACCGUAGCAAUGCUUAAAGUCGGUUCGGGUUAAACUAGCAAUUAAUACAUAUUUCAAAACGUGAGAUAUGAAACAUGGAUGACAAAAAGAAUUUCCAUGAAAUUGAAAUACAACCUAGGACUUGUAUGUGAUACAAUCCAAAGUAUUUUGUCGGUCCAGAGGAUGCUAGUAAGUAUGCUAGCUUCAGAGUUCCAGCAAUGGACAGAAUAGAGCAAAAUGGAGUUGGAAUCUUCGUUUUUGAUGGAUAGUCAAAGGGGUUUGACUUCAUCAAUGGGUAACGAAGAUGCUUGUGGAUUCAAGAAAGUAAGUGGGAGCAUAACAAUAUUUCUGAAAACCUUGUGUGCUUGACACAUUGUUAAUUGGAAAUAAAUUUCUUGACACGAAUUAGGACUUCAUUUGAAAAUAGUUUUUCGAUGAAGUGCUUGGGAUAAAUAGCCUUGAUAUUAGGCAUAAUGAUCUAUGGAGAUAGAUUUACCUAAUAGGGCUGAGCAAAAAUACAUAUUGACAAGAUGCUAAAACCGUUUAGCACUAAGAACGACAAGGAGUGAUUCUUACCGAAGUCGCAUGGAAAGAGUUUUUGCAAGAAUCAGUCUCCCAAAACACAGAUGAGCAAAAUACAUGAUGGAGAAUCCACACACUCCUGUGUUUGGAUUAAUCAUGUAUUCCAUGGAAUGUAAAACAACCAGAUAUGUCCAAUACUCCCAAGCUGUUGCGAGUAUAGAUACCAAAGUGAUCAAAAGUACUGAUCAUGGGAAAACAGUGAAAAAUGAUCAUUGAGUACUAAAGUAGCACUAAUGACAUGUUUUCUCGCAAGUGGAGAUCAUGAAAAGUUCGUUGUAAAAGGUUACAUCGAUACAAUCUUCAUCAUUUCUUCAUGCAAUUUUCGAUUUAAAUUGAGGGUUUUGUGUAACACACAAUAUGGUGGUGCAGUUAGUUGGAAAUUGUUCCAGACAAGUUACUGUGGCGAAUUCUAUAAUAGAGGCGAAGUAUGUUGCCGCUUUAGAAGCGACAAAGACAAAUAUGUUGAAUCAUAUAGUUCAUUCAUGAACUUAGUAUGGUUCCAAGAAGGCUUUGGUCAAUGGGACACUAUUGCAGAUAGUUGCUCCAUAACUCAGUCUGAGGAAUCAGGUUUCGACCAAUGAUUCACAUAUAUACAAAGCCAAGUCCACACAAAAUAUGAAUUUUCUGAAAGCGUGAAAACGCGAGGAUAUGCAGAGAUACACACGGAGCUGAAAUUGUCAGAUCCGAUGGACAUCAGGCUAUACCACAUGCGAAGCAUUUUUUACACCGUUAUGCCAUAGGUGUAAUGUGCAUUAGCAUUAACUAGAUUAUUGACUCUAGUGCAAGUGGGAGUCUGUAGGAGAUAUGCCCUAGAGGCAAUAAUAAAUGAUAUUAUUUAUCUCCAAGUUCAUGAUUAUGUUUAUGUUCCAUGCUAUAACUGUUGUGGUUCCCGAGCCCGUAUAUCCAUAAAGGCUCUGGGAAAACCCAUGUGCACGUGUGGAAUAAUAAACGAUAAAAUGUAUUCCUAGUCAUGCCUCUAAGACUAGCUCAAGUAUUGCAUGAUGAUUAUGUUUUCCCAAUCAUGGGCAUGUCUAUGCCAGCAACUUUGACGACACAAUGUUAGAAGAACAUUUGUGUUGAAUCGACCCGAAUUGAUGUUAUGCUAUGAGAUACAUUCGUCACAAGUUUAUGGUUAAUAACACAGAGAUGGUUAAUGUUUGCAUAAUUCCUUAGACCAUGAGAGUAUCAAGUUUCUUCAUACUCACUUCAUGAACUUUGGGGUUUGUUAAACGUCACCGUAAAUGGGUGGCUAUUACGGGGGCUUACGGGUUCAUGGAAAAGUGUGUCAAGUAACUUUAUAGCUCAAGAUUGGGAUUUGCUCUUCCGACGAUGGAGAGAUAUUCUCGGGCCUCCCGGUAUUAUGGUAUCCAUCAUCGUCUGGCCAGACACAGUGUGAUUUGCUCACUGGGAUGCCGGAACACGGAAACGAGAAAAGAGAAUGAAACUGGUAACAAGGUAACUUGCAUGGUGGACAAAUGGUUCAUCCACGGGGAUGCAAUAAGUCUCACCUCGGGUGUUUGUGACAUAUCGUGAAGCAACAGGAAUAGCUCACUGCAACUGGAGGUUCACUCGAAUAUUUAUUCGUGUGGGUAUAGGGGUCAAUAUGGGUGUCCACAGCUUCGAUGUUGAUCAUUGAUCGGAAGGGGUUCCGGGUCAUGUCUAUACUUCACCGAACCUAUAUGGUCACACGCUUAAGGGUCAUCUAUCUGCUGAAUACUAGACAAGGAGUCUGAGAGAAAAACAUCGAAGAAGUUUCGGACACCGGAAAGGUUUCGGACAGCGGAAAAGUUCUGCAGAGAGAGGUCAUCGAAUGAGUUUCGGUGUAACCGAAAAGUUUUUUCAGGAUAUACUAUUAAGUCAAAUUGGUUUCGGCACAUGCCUGAUAAUUCUUGGAGGGUGCCAGAUUCAUUCUGGAAACUUUCUGGAAUUUUCCGGGAUAAAAGCUGGAUAUGCUCCGGAGCUGCCGGAACCACUUCAGAUGCUUUUCGCAGAUGAAAAUCACUAAUCCGCAAUUGUUUCAGAAUGUGUUGAAAAUUAUUUUAGUGGGUACUAGAAAUGUUCUAAGCCCACAUAAAUAUUUUCAGUUCGAACGGACACUGAAAAAUGUCUCGUGAAUAGUGAAAGUGUUUCUUGGGAUAUUUAUGGAAAGCCAGCUUUUGGGGCUUUUCCCAAAAGGCUUCUAGAAGGACUUGGGGAUCAAGGAACCCCCUUUGGGGGGCCCCCAUGAAGGUGGGACGUUGGAGGGUGCAGCUCCUCCAUGGGGCUCCACUUGUCAUCACUUUAUGCCCUUUAUGUGUGACAUAAAGUGUGGGCAUUUUGGGUUUUUCAUGUGUCCCCUACCCCUUGUGUUUUCCUAUAAAUAGAGGUGGAGAGGCACUCUCCAAACUCACUCUUUCUCACAUACAAGUGCCAUUGCAAUGAUCUGGCUUCUCUCUCCCUCCCCGCGAAAUAGUUUCGUAGAGCUGAAAGGCUGUCUGGAUUCCGGUGGGAACUAGUUCUGGACGGCGAAGCCCUGCCAGAUAGAUGACACCGUAUGUGUGCAACUCUGUAGAGAGAUCGUAGUUUCGGUCUUAGUUCGAGAGUGCCUCCGAAGGGCUGUCCGUGUGACCGUCCGAGUUUCAGAUGUCCUCCCGGAGGGCUGUCCGAGUGACCGUCCGAGUUUCGAAGGUCCUCCCGAAGGGCUGUCCGCGAC